GUGCUUAUUUUGGUAGCAUAGACACUGGAAGUGGAAGGAUCUAGGGAAGAUGAGCAUGGCCCCUGCACAAGGAUGGCAUCCACCUGUCCUGGAAGAGAUAGAGGUGAGC
ensembl:snRNA U6 U6 spliceosomal RNA